ACCUAUAUGUCAUACCAAUGUCACCACACUCUUUGGUUAAGAGGAUAACCAAUCUAUAUGGCAUACAAUAACCUUCACUCGAUAAACAUCAUCAUCCCAUAAUGAUGUAUCAUUUGAUCGCGAACAUGUUUAAGAACUAUAUGAUAAAUCCUAUCUUUAUCAUACACUAAUAUAGUUCUAAGAAGUUCAUCACAACACAAGAGUUCUACAAGGAAGAUAUAACUUUGUGGUGAA
rnacentral:lncRNA from 1 species